GAAACUGAAAAACUUGAUCUAAUUAGCAUUAACUCAGCAGGUGUGUCUAUUACGUUUUGAUUUGCCUCCCAAAUAGUACCAGACACACCCUUUUUAAGAGUACAAGUAUAAAAUGUCUAAAUUUUCAAGAGAACAAUCAGAUCUGAUUUGAUACAAGUCGAACCAACAAUCUACAAAAUGUUCAAACUGCUUUUGUUGUUUGCCCUUUUGGCUUUCGCUCUGGCUGUACCUAAAGCCAAUCCCCAAUUCUACUACGGAAACUUGGGUUAUGGAGGUUACUACGGAUAUGGAGGAUAUGCUGCCGCUGUUCCCUACGCCUAUGGUGCUGCAAUUUAUUAAAUGAUGCAUUGUUGUUACACACUUCAACUAGAUUAGGAUAAUAAAUAGUGAAAAAUAUUAAAA